GAUAGCUCAGUCCGGCAGAGCGUGAUACUCAUAAUCUCAAAGUUGUGGGUUUGAGUCCCAUAUAUGCA